GAGUGUCAUGGCAACCUGUUUCAUGUAAUAUCUUGCCUGAUGAAGCAUCAUGAAGAACUUGAAAGCUUGCCACAUUUUUGUGACUUUUUGAUUGGUCCCAGGUAUUGCCCAACUAGCCAAUGGAUAACAAACAUGGAUUCUGCGAUGUGUUAUGGUGGCUAAGAGACUUAUACUGCUAGACUAGAAGGACAAACUUUCUCCAUGUUUCAGCCAGUGGUUUGAAGAGCUCACUGCCCGCUUUGCAUUUGAAUGCAUGCCAUAUAACUAUCCAUUUCAUUUAGAAACCUAUUAAUGUAUAUGUUUCAAACAGAGUUAAUGGGGUAUUUUUAGUUUCAAUGUCAGCUGGCAAUAGAUUGUUUCAAUCACUGUUGUUCGUUUGUUUAGUUAUUUUCUGUUACAAAUGAAAAUAAAAAAAACUGAAAGGGAGGAGGUAUUGCUCAACUAAGAGUUGCAGUCAUUCUUAUAACAGGGAACAAGCUAAAUUCAAAAUUAAGGUGAAAUUUAAACAUUUAGAACAAAAAUCUAAACUAAUGGUAAAUAAGAGAUGAAAUACCAAAUGUACAUUUUGCACACCCAAAAACUAACAGCUGUGAAUAUUAUUAAUGUGAAAUGCAUAAAUUAUCCAGGAUCAGUACAAGCUGAUCUGGAUCAGUGAGAUGAUUUCUGUACUGAAAAUAAAUAGUUUAUUUCUUAAAGUGAGUUGCUUCUUGAGCCAAAAGAGGGUUAAGUUUUCAUUUGCUGUCUACAGCAAGAAUAUUGAUUUUCAAUAAAAACUAUUCUAUUAAACAUCAGAUCUGUAAGAUACAGAAUAUUCUGCUUUUGCUCAAAUUUAAUAUAUUUUAUGAGAUAUAUGGAAGGAAAACUCAGUUUCCUUUUAUAUGGAAGAAAUGAUGGAUCGCUGUGAUAAAAUGAAUCAGGCAAGGAAAAAUGUAGAUAAAGGGCCAUAGCUCAGUGGUAGAACAUUUGCUUUGUAUGCAGAAAAACCCAAGUUCCAUCCUCAGGUAAGACUUCGAAUGUUCCUUGCCUGAAAGUGGGUCUGUAUUGUUCUCCUUGCCUUCCCAAGGCUGCAGGUUGCUACCACAUAGUUCAUCAUAGUGUGGCAGAGCCAAUCUGACACUCCCCCCAUGCUGGCCUUGCCCCAUUGCCUCUCCCUCUCAGUAGGCAACAGAGAUGUUCAGGACUGGGAAGUCAGGAGAGCACAACAUCCCCACACCUGUGUAGCACCAUUGGUCACUACUGAAUGUCGACAAUAUUGAGCUAGGUGGACUAAUGUCCUAACAGUAGAAGGCAACUUCCUAAGUUCUUAUGAAAAUUUUGUCAUACCCUUUUCUCAUGGUUUGAUCCUCCAGGCCCCAUUGAAAUCAUUCAGUAUCUUCCAACUUUGACUUGGAAGCACUUCAGUAAGGAUAGUGAUAUGUGACAUGGCAUCAAAACGCAGAAGCCAGCUUUUGAGGUGAGUAAAUUUGUUCCCUAAAUAUCAUUUUGUGCCUCAUGUUGCUGAAUAUAUUGAAAAUGUAAACAGAUGUUAGAGAACUCCUCUAGCUUCUUUGGCUUUGGAAAGAGCAAAUGGAAUCAUUUUUAUUUUUUUCAUGCGGUUCAUUUUUUGUUUGUUUUUUGGAUGAAGUUAAAGUGAACCAAAUUAAUUUUGCCACAAUGCUUUAGGCUCUCUUAUAUGAUGCCACCAACUGAGAGCCUACUGAAACAUUAAGGGUGAAGGUGAAGGAUUUUAAAGAACUAGUACGAUGGUGGAAAGGAGUUUCCCUUUCAAAUGUUCUCUUCUUGGGAGUUGAGUUUUCUAAACUCAGGCCACCCAUAAAACAAGCCAUAUGAUUUUGUUAUCAUUGGAAGCUGACUGUCAGAAGCACAGCUAAUAUGUUCUGUGGUAUCUGGAUGCCUCUACAUUGCACGAUAAGAGUAUUAUGCAGCAACAAAAAACUUUGACACACUAUCCGUAAGAACUAGUUCAGAUUUAGGAUCCCACAGAACACUCCCUUCCUUACCCACCCUCUGCGGCACUCAGAUAAGGGCUACUCAAGGCUUUCAAAAUAGGGUUUGAGAUUCUGUAUAAGCUUAACCUAAACUUCAAAAAAUGUGAUCCAACAAUUGCUAAAAAUCCAAUUUUUGCUGUAAAUCCCAUUCUACCACCAAAAUCAUUGCGAUUAAAAAUGCUAAAAUUGGACUGAAUUUCACCACUACCUAAAAAUAUCAGAGACACGAGUGGCACUGUGGUCUAAACCACUGAGCCUCUUUGGGCUAUACUUGCUAUUCUGGUAUAGAAUGUAAGCAGCCCAACUACUUGUGGGACAACUUUCUGACAGCAAAUAACACCUGCACUGGCCAGCCUAGGAUCAAGGUUUGGGACGUGGGUGGCACUGUGGUCUGAACCACUGAGCCUCUUGGGCUUGCCAGUCAGAAGGUUGGCAGUUCGAAUCCCCGUGACGGAGUGAGCUCCCAUUGCUCUAUCUCAGCUCCUGCCAACCUAGCAGUUGGAAAGCACACCAGUGCAAGUAGAUAAAUAGGUAUCACUGUGGCAGGAAGGUAAAUGGCGUUUCUGUGAGCUCUGGCUUCCAUCACGGUGUUCCAUUGCGCCAGAAGCGGUUUAGCCAUGCUGGCCACAUGACCCAGAAAGCUGUCUGUGGACAAACGCUAGCUCCCUCGGCCUGAAAGUGAGAUGAGCGCCUCAACCCCAUUGUCACCUUUGACUGGACUUAACUGUCCAGGGGUUCUUUACCUUUACCUUUACCGGGGGAUGAUGACUAUUAAGUUUCUCCCUUUCCUUCUGUUACAUCCCAAUAAUUUUGGACAUAGUUCCCGCUCUGGCAGAAAAACCUUUAUCUGGCCUGUCCCACUUCAGAACGGUAGUAAUGCAUUCUUGAGUGUACCCCAAAGUUCUUCCUUUUAAGUGAAUGGGUUCCUUCAUUCCUUUGGGGAAAAAUAAAACCCUGUAGUUGGGAACAACAUUGUGGCAGAUGAAGUCCAAUCUUGUCCUCUGCUCCUAACUCUGGGUGGGACAGUCUUUGCUUGUAGAGGAGGAGUUGCACCCAUACAACAUCCUUGCGGUUCACAAAUCCUCUUUCUACACACAUUACUGCCACCACAAUAAACCUUUGCCUUAUACAGUUGUACCUCGGGUUAAGAACUUAAUUCGUUCUGGAGGUCCAUUCUUAACCUGAAACUGUUCUUAACCUGAGGUACCACUUUAGCUAAUGGGGCUUCCCGCUGCUGUUACGCUGCCGCCACACAAUUUCUAUUCUCAUCCUGAAGCAAAGUUCUUAACCCAAGGUACUGUUUCUGGGUUAGAGGAGUCUGUAACCUGAGGCGUCUGUAACCCGAGGUACCACUGUAAUUUAAGAAUAAUCCAAGAGUCUUCUUUUUCACUAAACAUUGGAAAGGAGGAGACAUUGAGGUGACAUGAUAGCUACAGUAUCUUCAAAUAUCUAAAGGGCUGUCACAUGGAAUGUUUUCUGCUGCUCUGGAGGGUAGGACCUGUACCAAUGAAUUCAAGUCACAAGAAAGGAGAUUCCAACUAAACAUCAGGAAGAAGCUUCUGACAGUAAGAGCUGUUAGAAUGGACUCUCUUGGGAGGUUAUGGACUCUCCUUCAAAUGGUUGGAUGGCCAUCUGCCAUGGAUGCUUUAGCUGAUAUUCCUGCAUUGCAGGGAGUUGAGCUAGAUGACCCUCAUGGUCCCUUCCAACUCUACAGGUUCUAUAAUUCUGUUAUUGGGGGAGCCAGUUGGCUGAGUGUACACCUGUCAGUUGGGGUCUUGACACUGGUGUUGCUGCCGCUUUCCCAAAUGGGGAUACAGCAGGGUGGCAGCGAGGGUGGGGCUGUGCAGACACACCAAGGGAGCUAAUCCUUACCAUCACCCUGCCGCUUCCAGGUAAGCUGCUGCAACACUUUUACUUAAGCAGACAUCAGUAGUGGAUCACGUGAUGGGGUGGAGCCACAGAGCCAUCCCAUCGCAUGAGCCACUACUGAUGCCUGUGUCAUGAAUUAGCAACUGUUGCUCAUAUCUUGGGGGGAGGGAUUUUAUCCACGUGUCUUCCCUUGUUCUGGAAAUGUGUGUAAAGAAGCAGCAGGGAAAUAACUGCAGAAUAGCUUUUUUCUCCCGCACAUAAGUGAACUUGGACAUAAGAAUGAGAUGUCUCUAGUAAAGUCUGGGAAGAUUCUUCGCCAUCCGUGAUUAAUCUAUCCUACACCAGUCUGCAUGAUGACCCCUUUUAGAUGUUCCCAUUGGCCGAUUCCCAGAGUUCCAGACAUGCCACAAAGUUUUGGCUGGCCAGGAGAUUCCAAGCAUCGCCAGACUUCUUGAUUUUAGCUACGUUCAAGAUGAAAGUUGGAUUUCCCCUCUCCCCUUUAAAAGUUGGUGGCAUAACCCAAUGAAUAUAUUGCAUUUUCAGCUGCAUGUUUUGAAAACUAAAAGGACAAGAAAACAGUGUGGGAAAAAUCAGGCUACAGGACGACAAGAGGGGAGAAAAACAAACACCCUCUAUAGUUCCCAUAGCUCAACAGAGCAUGUUGUUAGGGUAACUCAUAGGCCAGUGCCUCUGAGGGAUCCAAUCACUGUUUGGCAGAAUUAGAUUCUGAUUCAUGCUUUCUUAACUCAUACACGUGCCAACGAGGGAUGAGAACAUUCCAUGGGAACUUUAUGACCAGUCUCCUCCUUAUCAGCUUUGAACCAGCUGCCAGACUUGAAGGUUGUUCGAUAGAUAAUUGAAUUCUCCACAUCACACAUUAAUUUCUAGAUCCUGUCUUAUCCAUCCAUGGGCUAAGAUUCAAGGCCCAAUGCAGAGUAGCAUUUUCCUAUCCACACCCACCCUUCCUGUCUCUGAACUUCCUUCCUUAAGAUUUACCCAGAGAUCAUUGUGCUAAGUGAAUUCCCUGUCCUCAGCUUGUAAACCUCAUGCCCUUGGAACUUGUUCACAAGCUUUGCUCUGACACUAGGGAUUUUUUAAAUCAAUGCUUCCCUACAAGCAAGGUCUGCAACAAAAAGUUGUGUUGUAUUCCCAGUCUCUCUUACAGGAGUGCUCUCUAUAGGAGAGUUAUAGUCCUACUCAGGUAGCCUCAGGAGGAAGGAAGGGGGAAAGGCUAUCGUCAACAACGCAUCACCAGGUGAUUGACAGGAGGGUUGUCCCAUUCACCUGUCAAAGGUGGCCCAUGGAGGUGGGAGGAGAUGGCAACCACGCAGGAUCAAACUCCUUGCCCAUCAGAUAAUGGGUUGGGAGUCCAGUUCUGCUGUUGGCAGAACAGCCGUGUCCUGCUGUUGGCAGAAUCAGUCGUGUCCUUACCAAGCCUCAUACCUGAUCCCAUAUAAGACAUGCAAGGUGGGUGCAGCCCCAGAUUACACAUCUUUGUAAAAUACUCUCCCCUAAUAUAUUUUGCAUGCUAUUUUCAUAAACAUAUGCAUAAUAUUUAGUAUGUAUUUUUUCACUAAUAUUGGGAUUUUUUAUGCAUACUAUACCCCAGUGUAGGUAGAACUCAUCUUACACACAUAAAGCUACAAUCACAUAAGCGAAUAAGUGUAACAUGCAAGUUAUUUUUAUGUGUUUACUUUUACAUAGUACUUGGUAUUAUUAUCUUUAGAGAGGAGCAAAAAUCCGUGGAAAUCCACCCAUGUGCUUCCACUAGAAGGGGUUGUGGAUUAGGCUGAAAAUGUGUUAGUGCUGAAGCUGCCUUUUACUGAGUCAUCAUUGCUUACCCAGUCCAUCAGUGGUUCUUCAAGGUCACAAACAUGAGAUCUUCUGCAGUUCAUUGAAAUUCUUGUAACUGGACAUGCUAAGGAUAGAACCUGAAACCUUAUUCAUACAAAGGCCCAUAUGAACUUAUCCAGAUCAUAUGAUCAUCAUCUGAGGCCCUUCAUCGUGUGCCUCCUCCACUUAAAAAAAAAAAAAAGGAUACUUUUAAAAAAGGAGGAGAAGGGGAGAUGAUGUGGAAUGCUCUGUAAAUACAGUGAUCCAUCCAGUCCUACAUGCUUCUCCAAGAGAAUCAGAUGUCUCAGAAGAUAGGCAGAUAGAGGAUGCUUCAUUCCCACACGGAUCAAAGCUCAUACCCGCUUUGCCACACUAGUUAUACCAAGGUCGGAAGCCACACAGAACAUAGGCACCAUUUUUCAUAGCAAGUUAUUUGUGUGAUAUGGCUUCCACCUGUUCAUGGUGAGUUUUAACCACACCAAAGAAACUCCCUGAAAAAGUGGAAUGGUUAUUUGUGGCCACACUCUGGGUUGUAUUCAUAGAAUCAUAGCACCAGUCUUUACUCAGAGAAGACCCACUUAAAUUAAAGCCAAUAUCUCUUGAGUUAGUUGAAUACAGCCCCAUGUGCCUGGAACAGCCACCAACUCUACCUGAUGAAAAAGCCACAGACCUUUCUGUCUGAUGGACCCUUGGUGACUGCCAUUCUUGUUUUCACUUGAUGUCUCUUAAAAAGUAGAGACAUCACCUUGCCAACAAAGGUCCGUAUAGUAAAAGCUAUGGUUUUCCCAGUAGUGAUGUAUGGAAGUGAAAGCUGGACCAUAAAGAAGGCUGAUCGCCGAAGAAUUGAUGCUUUUGAAUUAUGGUGCUGGAGGAGACUCUUGAGAGUCCCAUGGACUGCAAGAAGAUCAAACCUAUCCAUUCUUAAGGAAAUCAGCCCUGAGUGAUCACUGGAAGGACAGAUCCUGAAGCUGAGGCUCCAGUACUUUGGCCACUUCAUGAGAAGAGAAGACUCCCUGGAAAAGACCCUGAUGUUGGGAAAGAUGGAGGGCACAAGGAGAAGGGGACGACAGAGGGUGAGAUGGUUGGAUAGUGUUCGCGAAGCUACCAGCAUGAGUUUGACCAAACUGCGGGAGGCAGUGAAGACAGAAGGGUCUGGCGUGCUCUGGUCCAUGGGGUCAUGAAGAGUCGGACAUGACUAAACGACUAAACAACAACACUUCAUAUAAAACUUCAUGUACACUGCUUGGAAGUGCCAGUCACUGCAGAAUGCAUUGUACAGUCACUGUGCAGGGGAUUUUAGGAGAGCAGCAAUGCACAAGAAGACCUUGCUAUGUGCACAUUGAUCUAAGCUAGAAUCCUAAUGCCUAUGCAUAAGCCUGGUAGAUAUUGCCUGCUAAUCAGUCUACGGGGUAUAAUAUUUCUAUUUGUAGUUGGUCAAAACGACUGUGCUGCAGUUUGAGACUGAAAAUGCCAGGUAUUUCACUCUUAAUACAGCUACUGGCUUGUGCCAACUCUCUUUUCAUAUGCCAACUCUCUUUUCAAAUACUGACAAAGGAAGGUUAUGUCUAAGUAUGCAAAUCCUCCUAAAUGUACAAUGGGAAACAGCAAACCGAUACAAAUAACUUGCAGUCUACGGAGCUGACCUGAUGAUAUGAUGUCAAUCCAGCAGAUCAGCGGUGGAAAUGGAAAUUGACUAGUUUUCCAGACAUUCCAUUACUGUCCAUUCCUUAUAAAGCCAGCAAGAACGCGGGUGGUGCUGUGGUCUAAACCCCAGAGCCUAGGGCUUGACAAUCAGAAGGUUAGCGGUUUGAAUCCUCAUGACGGGGUGAGCUCCCGUUGCUCAGUCCCUGCUCCUGCCAACCUAGCAGUUUGAAAGCACAUCAAAGUGCAAGUAAAUAAAUAGGUACCGCUCCGGCGGGAAGGUAAACGGCAUUUCUGUGUGCUGCUCUGGUUCGCCAGAAGUGGCUUAGUCAUGCUGGCCACAUGACCCGGAAGCUGUCUGUGGACAAAUGCCGGCUCCCUCGGCCUACAGACCGAGAUGAGCGCGCAACCCCAGAAUCAUCUGCGACUAGACCUAACGGUCAGGGGUACCUUUACCUUUCACCUUAUAAAGCCACAGUACUGUUCUGUAGGGCUCUCAUGCUAAUAGUCUCUAUAAUGUCUGUUAUAACUAAACCUCUGGAACAUCAGAAGCCUUUGAUACGAAAGACAUGCUAACAUAUCUCCCUUGAUUUCCUUAUUGUUUUCAGUACUGUGUGUUCUAAGAACUGGAGAGGAUUUGAGUUUAUUUAACUUCUACAAAUAGAUUAUCCUGAGAUAUUUAUUUAAACCUUUGGGGUUUAAAAUCAGCCAUGUCCACCGCAAUUUGGGCAAUGUUGACUGUUGGCAACUCCCUAUGGUUCUUUACUCCAAAUCUCCAUUAGGCCGCAGAGGCACAAAUCAAGUAAUUUAAUGGAACUUGCAGUUCUUGACUAAACUUUUUUGAGAAGUCUUUGCUUAAAACGUGUCUUGCAUUGUGAAUUUAGGAAAUGGAAAAGCUCCCUAAAUGUAAUCACAGCUAGAGUAGCCUUCUUCAAGCCCAGUUGUUCUUGGACUCCAGCUCCCAUCAGCCCCAACCAUCAUGGCCAGUGGUUAGCAAUGACAGGAGUUGCAGUGCAAAACCAUCUGGAGGGCACCAGAUUGGGAGAAAUUGAGCAAAGCUGUUGGUUAGUUUGGAAGGAAACAUAGAUUUAAUUCAUCAUUGAAUCUGUGCAGAUUAGUUUAUCUCACCUCCAUGCAAGAUUUCUGUGUGGCUAAAAUGUAGUUCUGAGCUCCUGAAAAGUAAUGUGACACUUAAUUGAACAUAACCCUGGUUAAAACAACACUGUUUGGUUUCAAUUGUUUUAAAACUAUAUUCUGGAGACAAUGGACAUUGUGAGGUUUUGGCAGUAUCACUGAGUGGCUUGAUAUCUCUCCUAGCAGUCUAUGGACCCAAGCAGGUAAGUAAGGAGACUGGAGGAGACUCUUGAGAGUCCCGUGGACUGCAAGAAGAUCAAACCUAUCCAUUCUGAAGGAAAUCAGCCCUGAGUGAUCACUGGAGGGACAGAUCGUGAAGCUGAGGCUCCAAUACUUUGGCUACCUCAUGAGAAGAGAAGACUUCCUGGAAAAGACCCUGAUGUUGGGAAAGAUGGAGGGCACAAGAAGAAGGGGACGACAGAGGAUGAGAUGGUUGGAUAGUGUUCUUGAGGCUACCAGCAGGAGUUUGACCAAACUGCGGGAGGCAGUGGAAGACAGGAGUGCCUGGCGUGCUCUGGUCCAUGGGGUCACGAAGAGUCAGACACGACUAAACGACUAAACAACAACAACAACAACAACGGGUCAGUAAAGGAAUGACAACACAGUAUUGCAGAAAAAGGGCUAGGAUUGGUAAUAGGUUGGCAAUUGGUUAUAGGUUGGCAAUAGGUUCAGGACAAAUCAGGGCGGGGUUCACGCAAUGUAUAAUUACAUUAUGCGUUUUCUCCCAAAUGAAAUUGUGAUGAACAGUGGCGUAGAUGGCCUUAUUUUUAUUCAAUUGUACUGCCCUUUUAAUCUCACGUUUCUUCUGCCACGGAACUCAAGAUGCCAUACAUGUGAUUCCCCAUUGGUCACUCAUCUAGGCACUGACCAGACCCAGACCAGCGUCAGCAGGCAUGGUGGCCUUCUAACCAGAGAAAUUCAUGGAUGAGAAAAGGUCUGUCAAUGGCUAUCAGCAGAGCCAGCCCAAUAUAUUUUGACCCCUGAGGCAAACCGCAAAAUGGUGUCUCCCCCCCCACCAGGGAAGAAGGUGUGAGUGAAGAUCUACAUUGAGAAUGGGGGUAGGGAAUCUACAUCGGGAUCUGCUGCUCCUAUGGAUCCUGCCUCCUGAGGUGGUCACUUCAACUGGCCUCAUGGGUGGACCACCUCUGGCUAUCAGGGAUGCCUGUCUAUUUGUGGUCUUAGUCACUUUACACCAGAAUUUAUCAGCAAAUUGGAUUCUUUUCAGUGUAAGUAUGGAUCAAGAUAAAGGUUUUUAUCUCCUACUGCAGAUGUUACAUUUGCAUAGUAAGCUUUGUACAAUGAUAUUAUCACCAAUUAAUUCUCUGUUCUUAUCUUGGAGCUUUGCCUAUAAAUGGCACAGUCGUACUGGGCCUCUUACAUUUCAGAUAGAUCAUUAGGCCCUACUAUUUCCAAUCCCCACUCCAGACCUUUGACAUGUAUGUUGUUGUUUAGUCGUUUAGUCGUGUCCGACUCUUUGUGACCCCAUGGACCAGAGCAGGCCAGGCACUCCUGUCUUCCACUGCCUCCUGCAGUUUGGUCAAACUCAUGCUGGUAGCUUCGAGAACACUGUCCAGCCAUCUCAUCCUCUGUCGUCCCCUUCUCCUUGUGCCCUCAAUCCUUCCCAACAUCGUGGUCUUUUCCAGUGAGUCUUCUCUUCUCAUGAGGUGGCCAAAGUAUUGGAGCCCUAGCUUCAGGAUCUGUCCUUCCAGUGAUCACUCAGGGCUGAUUUCCUUAAGAAUGGAUAGGUUUGAUCUUCUUGCAGUCCAUGGGACUCUCAAGAGUCUCCUCCAGCACCAUAAUUCAAAAGCAUUAAUUCUUCGGCGAUCAGCCUUCUUUAUGGUCCGGCUCUCGCUUCCAUACAUCACUACUGGGAAAACCAUAGCUUUACCUGCCAAUUGAGGAUUAUGCAUCUGAUGAAGUGGGUUUCAGUCUAUGAAAGUUACAUCACAAAAAAGUUAUUAGUCAUUAGGAAGUCAAAGAUUCUUUGACUUCUAUUUUUGCAGCAGACUUAAUGCAGUUACCUUUCUGGGAUGUGUCAGGUGCUUUGAGCACUUUAGAAGAGAGUUAAAAUUUAAGCACAGGACGCUGGGAAAGUGAUUCGAAAGAGCUAAUUGGAGAGAAGGGGAUUUCCAAAGAUGACGACACUUCUGGAAAAAACUGUUCAGGACCAGCUUAAACAAAUAUGGCAUCAAGCCUUGUUGAUGGGAGCCAAGGAACACAGGGCCAUUUCUGUGCUGUCAAAUGUCAUGACACAAAGAUUCAUGAGAAAAUGCCUUCUAGCUCCCGGGAAAUCUCCCUGUCAGAGCACACCCUCCUAGUUCGACACAUCUGCUAUACUUCGUGCAGGAAUUCAUCGGGCACAAAACAUAGAUGGAUUUCUUGGGAAUGAGCAAGAGACUUCAUAUAAAUGCUUUUUGUUGGGGGGGGGCGAAGGAAGCAAGAAGAACCAUACAUGUAAUUAUUUUUAUUUUUGCAUAUUUCUGAAGCAUUCUAAAGAGGGUGAUAGAUAAACCAUGCAUCAUAUCACAUCCUCCUCAAAAUGACUGAGACAUGUGGAUGAAGAGAAUCUAUUAGACUAGAGAGAUGUGCUUUGUACAGGGGAAGGUUUGGCAUUAGUUUAGCAGAAAACCAACAUUUGUCAAGGACCCCUAUGGUGGAAGAAGGUAGCAGAGCUUUCAUUUUAUGCAGUAGGCUGAAACGAGUCCUCGCCUUUCUAAAAGCCCAUCCCUAGGGGUCGAAUUACUGUAAUAUCAAAUAAUGUUUGCAGACAUUUCAAGUGGUGCUGGCAGAGAUAGGAAUCAAUUACAGAAUGUUGAAUUUUAAUGUUGUUGAUAUGAGUUCGUCUUAAUGGGUGCGGGAGGGAUAUCUCACACAAGACCAGGAAACAGAAGGGGCAGACUGAGCAAUGCUCUAAAACUGUGAAGACAGGGGCUACACAACCAGAUGGGAGGUGUCUCAAGAAGUCCAGGAGGAAAAUGGGGUUACACCUCCACUCAAGACAGGAGGGGGAGAAGUGCUGUUAGUGGGGAAGAGUGCCAAGAGGUAAGGAAGGCUGACUUUCAUAUACUGAUUCAAUUUAACCGGCCAGUUUUCUGACUGUGGGCUUCCAGUGAACUUAUGAUUCAGCAACACAUGCAUAUUUAGUCUGCGGGACACUGCCACAAAUUAUUAAUGUGGCAAACAGUUUAAACAUCUCUAUCCAAAAGACGGUCAGAUUUCUAGUUGGAGCUUAAGAUUGUUUGGCACUGAAUGUGUAAUUCUGCGACAGCUCAAAGCAUGUUCACUGCUAACGCAGCUCAGAUAUAUCCGCGGACAGAUUUUGGCCUUUUGAUCUGUGGAGUAAAAAUGGUUUUAAGGUCUGCAGGAGUAAAUAGUAGACGCUAAUAUGGUGUUCAUCCCAGAUCUGUCAUUGGAAAGGCUCCAUCUUCUCACAAUCUCAGAGUGCAAACAUCUCUGUAUAUUUGAUAUCCUUGACAUUAAAAGAGUGAUCUGGUUUGUUUAAUGGCUCCGAAAGCAUCCCUGAGUCACUGAAGCUAAUAGCCCCCAUUUGAAUUUGUAGUGCCUGCUCUGAGCAGCACCAAGUGAAAAGUUCCAGAUCCAGCGAUUUGAAAAACUCCUGGCACCGAUGUUUAGAUCUUGACCCCCUGACUAUAUUUUGGUUCAUAGUUAGCAGCUAGGUUACCAAAGAGGAUGGCAAUGUUUAGGCAUCUCUGCAGCUUCAUUCUUCAUUCAGGGUCUCCUUUGACAAGAUACUCCAACAGGCCUGAUGUUUCUCCAAACUGCAUUCCAGGGCUGAAGAACUAUAUAGAGGGAGAGCUUUGGCUUAAAUGCUCUCUCUGGAGUAGCUUCUGGCAGGAGAGGUCGGUGAGAAGGGCUGUCACCAGGUACCUAACCUCCAAUUAAUGCAAGUUUUACCCCUUACUGGGAGGUAGGGGACGAGGCGACAGGCAGCUUAGUGCUGUAUGGAUGCUUGGGCAGGAGUGCCAGAGUGACCCCAUCAAUGCCCCCAACAAGUGGGAUGUAAUCCAUUGGAGCAGUCAAAUACAACAUUCCUUGUUUCCCUAGAGUGGGCAUAGGCAGGAGGAUGUUAAUCCAGUCAGUAUGACUUCCUGUUCCACUGGUCUGGAGCGUCCUCCCCCUGCAUGUGACCAGGGAGAUGGGCGUGACCCUGGCUGAUGCCAUAAAAGAGCCGAGUCACGCAGCAAUCUUCUCUCUUGAUGCCAUGCUGCUCUCCUGCUGCCAUUUUGUUCUCUUGAUGCUGUUCUCUUAACGUAUUUUGCUCUCUGCUUGCUCUCAGCCAGCAGCACAUGGGCUCAAUCCCCAUGAGGGAUUAACUCACCCUAUGUUCUGUAACUACUAGCUAAAGCCUGCCUUCAGGGAUCAUACCGUGAACUGAAUGUGAGUAAACUUCUUGUUACUUUUAAGGAAAGACUCUUGCGUCUUUAUUCUUUUAAGAAGGAUAAAAGGGGACACCAGGAAUAAUCCAUUCUGGUCAAGCCAGACUGGAUUGCUUAACUAAAGAGAUUCAAAUGAGUCUGCAAACUAGCUUCCUGCUGAAUUGAGGGGAAUCUGUUCUGCUACGUGACCCAGUAGCAUGAAGGAAGGAAGGAUAAUAUUUAAUUAAUAUAUCCUCUCCUACUAUCCUUAACAUUCCCACACAAUAAAGUGCCAACUUCCUCAUUGCCUUGUCCCAUCCCUUCUCCUUCCCUGUAAGUGGCCAUGACUUUGCUGUCUGGAAGCCAGGUACCCACCGCUGCCUCUACUCACUGACUGCUCCGGGCUUCUAGAAAGGAUAACCUGCUGUGUUUGGUUUGAGCUUUAAGGGAGUCUGAAACUCUGCCUGGUUCGCAUGGAACAUAAUCCAAGCUGUACCUGAAGAGUUCCAUCCAGCUCACCGACUUGGAAGGCAGAGAUGGGUGCUUUAUCAGGGUAGGUUGCAAAAUGUUCUUCCUCAGAUUGUAGCUAAGGCGCUGAGCCUCAAAUUUUGGGGAAACGUGUAAACGUUUUGGGCAUGACCCACUCCAAUUGUGGACUCUGUUCCUGAACACAGAGGGUUCCCAUGGGCCCUGUUAGCACCCUGUUUCUCCUCCCCCCCCCCCACAUAGGACAACAAUUAAAUCAUUCUUUAUGAUUUCGUCAAGAAAACAUAGAAUGGGGAAUUGCUGAGCCCCGUCUGAACCCCUUACGUUCAGGGGCUGUGUCUGUGGCUUGAGUUGCUGAUGUCCAUUGAUCUUAGCAAUUUGACUCUUACAUUUUUUUUGCCUUAAAAUUCUUUGGUAAUCAUUAAUAAAUAUCCAUGAUAGUUUAAAAGCAACAUUUUAGCCAAUAUGUUUUAUGGCUGAGAAGGGAUUUGAACCCAAGUCUCUCAGGCCCUAGCUUAGUCCAACACUACACUACAGUGGCUUUCAUUUACAUAGGUUUAGAUAAGAUCUGCAUGUCACCUCUGCCCUGCAAAGGAGAUCUACAGGUGAGUCACAUUUUGGAUAUGGAAUCAAAGGCAUAAAUCAGUGUUUCAAACCAAAGGAAAUUAGAAUGUGCAUCUGGGUGUUGAUGUUGUCCAUCUGCAUUGCAUUGCUUUCAGCUGAAUGCACAUUUAACACACAGCCCCAUCCAUAUUCUGAUGCAGCUAGUCUUACAGAAACAGCUUUAUAAAGUGUAGCUCGAGUGGAUUCAGAGCAAUCGUCUAUUAUAUACAGCAUCUCGUGUGCUAUUAGAUAACAGAAGCAUCUGGGAAAGAUGAUAUGUUUUAUUGUUGCAUAAGAGAUAUCACCAUUGAUAUACACUUGAGAUUGUGAGAAAUGGGUGUGUUCUUUUGGAAUAUGCCUGCUGGAGAGUCUAACUGCUUUCCAGUGCAAGUGCCAAAGAAUCGGAGCCAAAAUCACAGCCAUUAAAUAUUGAAGUCAUUGUAGCCAUCCAAGAAAAAGGGUCACAAAUUCUCUAUUGUUCUGUCUGACUUUAUAGAAAGAAACUUGGGAAUGUCAAACACUGAUUACAAUUCAAAGAAGAAAAAAAACAAUAAUAAAAAUGAUGCCAAAUAACACUGUUUUAAAGUUCAGCUUAGUGCUCUUAAAUUACAAAGCAGAACUCUUUCUUCUAAUGUUUGGCAUGCCCACAUUCUAAUUUUGACUUCUUCUGAGAGGUGGCGAUAGCAUCUGAUGAGUCACCAUUGAAAUGUGUGAGACCAAAUGUUUUCCCCCCCAUAUAGCUGAAGCAAUCAGCACUCUUGGUUUGUUGUGCAUGGCUUGCUUUCGUUGGGCAAUAGUGGCAUGGUGUUCCACUUCCUGAACCAUGUGAUCGGGGCAUUCUAUUGGGGAACUUGGACUGAACUCUACAUUCCCUCUCAGACCCAGGCACCUAACUCUCCUACUCCCGACAUGAACUUCAUUUCAUUCACUUUUGGCCAUUGGCCCCACCCCUGAGCCUAGAAUUCAGCAUUUUAAAAAUCUGAUCUAAUACAAUGUGUGCUGGGCUGGAGUCUGCACUGUAAGAAAUGAUAGGCACGGGCACCAUUGGUGACAGAUGCCCAUUGGGAGGAAAAUAGAAAUACAGGAAGUGGUUUUACAUCGCGCCAGACUAUGUGUUCAUCUUUCAGGGACCGUGCUGAGGAGGGCUGCACUGAGGAGGAACGGUGGGAGCCUCCCCCUCCCCCUGCUCCAGAUCCUGAAUCUUCCCAGGAGCAGGAGGACAGUAUAGAUUUGGAACAGUGGUUUGCAGAGGGGCAUAGUUCAGAAGGCAGAAGCUGGGAAAUACUGGAUGGGAGACAGCUAGGAGAAGAAACACUGGAAGAGAGAGGGUUAACAGAUUCACAGUCUCUGGACAGCAUUCACUCCCCCCUUCUCCAAAGUCAUGGAGAGCUCAGAAAGCACAGAGGGUACAAGCUCAGAUUACAAAACAUAGAAGUGGCGUAGAUUAAUAGGGACAGCAGGGGGUAGAUUCCUUAAUUGGGAGCACUGCCAUUCCUAGUUGUGUUCUUUGUUCUCUCUGUGAUUAUUAAAGUAUAAAUGGCAGUUAAUAAUUUGUUUCUGAAGCUAAUUUAGAUUACAUUUAUACAAUGGAAAGACAAUUCUUCCAUGGAGGUCUAUAGAAAGCCAUUGCCGUGUCUGGCCACAGAGACUGAGUCACACAAACCUUUAUUGCACAUGCAAUCCAAGAAAAAUUGUCCCAGAGAAAGGAGUUUGGUUGAUUGCCUUGUGUCCCUUAAGACAAUUCUGCUUGUACCCACCAGCUUACUAAAAUUAAAAUGCACCCCCAACGCAAGUAUCUUGGGAUGUGUUGUUUUGUGUGGUUGAUUGUUAUAUCCUGUUAGAAAUCCUUAAACCCCAACCAAAGAGCAGGUCUCAGAGUUCUGAUGGGGGAAGAAUAUAAGAAUGCUCAACUGGUUCCUGUUUGGAGGAAGGAUGUGCCUUCAGUAAUAGAGAUGAAUAUGUGAACAGUCUAAAUAAGGGAUCCAAACUCUCUUAGGAAAGGGGGGCGGGAAUCUUGUUUUUAUUUCUGGAAAGGAAAGAGAUACAUUUCACAAAAAGCCUGUUUUCUUUUUGUAAGUCAGCUUCCCUUUAGCUCUCACAUCUGGAAAGCAUGAAAGGAGGAGGACAGCCUUCUGCCAGGCCUAGAAGUGUAGAGGUGUUUGGAAAACUUCAACCAUCCCAAAAUGCUUAAAUCAGCCAAAGCGAAAGGCAGAACCUGGAAUCUAGUCAUUCUUGCUGCGGUGUGUGUAUGUGUUGCUACAGCUUCCUUUGGAAAGUUAAAAUAAAAGAUCAGCUCCCCCACAGGACUUUUUUUUUUGAGCACAUCAUCAAGGAAGCGAUGAUUUUGGCACACAGCAGUUGCUGCCUCUCCUCUCCAGACAUCAAAUAGCCCCACCACAUUGCGCUGGGUGAAGAAACAGGAAGGAGCAAGAACACACAGCUUGCGCUCCUUGUCUCCAAUGAGUCAGGAGAGCCGCCUCUGCUGAGGAUGGAAAUCCUCCACUUUUCCUGUGGUGCAGGAAAUACCUGUAAACAUCUCGGGGUAUAUUCAGCUCCAACAGACAGUAAACAAGACUAUGUCAUCCACUCCCAUCUACCAGAGCCUUGUAAGGCGAAAGCAACAAGGCGACCUUGAAUUCAACCUGAAGGAAAAUAACAGUGAAGGAACUGACUCAUAUGUAUCCCCCCCAAAAAAAUCCAAGUAGGGUCAGUCAGGAAGAAGGAAGGAAGGAAGGACACCUUGAGCCUACACAAGUCAAGAACAUGUUAGAACCAGGAACCAAAUUGAUUCAGUGGGCCACCCAGCUCAAUAUCCUGUUAAUAACAGUAGCCAGUCCAGGAUGCUUCCAAGGAAAUGUGUAAGAAAAUAGUGCAGAUACGAAAGAAGCUGUGCAUAUUGCUUCCAGCUUUUGAAGGUCAGAGAGCAAGGGGUGUCCUGUUUAUAAAGUUUCUCAGGAUGUCCAGCUUGGUCCUGAAUGGGUUGACUGAGAGCUGAUGCCUAUGCACCUAUGACAGUUGAAACAUGAGGUGGCAAAGAGAGGAGGAUGGAAAGUAUACUGUGAAUUUAUGAGACCAUUCUCAUAACAGGAACUCUGGAAGCUUCCUCCUACUGAGUCCGACUGUUGGACUGAACCUGAGGCCUUCUGCAUGCAAAGUACAUGCUCUACCACUGAACUAUGACCAGCAGCUCCUUAUGAGGUGGGCUUAUGCCUUCCCACAGUGCUUUGCAAAUGUUCAUGCAUGGGACCAGAAUGCUGCAGACAGGGUGGGAGACAGCCAUUCACCCAGCAGAGCUAAUGGCUAAUGUAGCGUAGAAGCCUAGUACGAACGGAGGACCUAAAAUUGUGAAAUACAAAUUCAUUUAACAGUCGAGAGAACAUUGCCCACAGAAAGUGUGGCAAUAAAAAUGUACACUGUAGAAUUUUAUGACCUCAUAAAACUACAGAUUGAAUAUGAUUCUUAGAUCAUAACAUUCAACCAUUGUCUAGAAUUCUGUUGUCUUUUCAGAGUAUAGACUGGCACGGAACAAAGCAAACUAAAAUCUAACUGGGGGGCAUUUCACGAACAGGAAGGAAAUGUGCAAGUGAGCUAAUAUUGAGCAGUGCAAAAUUACUUUUUUUCCCUUUUAAAAACAUGAUUUUUAAUUAGAGUAUCAUAGAAAAGAUGGAAGGCAAAAUGGCCGCACACACUACGUGUUGACAAUUUCCCCAGCCAUUCAAAACAUCCUCAUGUGUAUCAAGUGUAUGAUAAACUACUGGGGACUCAAAGUGUGGAAGAACAUGUACAAGGACCUAGGUUUCUUGUAGAAUCAAGGUGGUGGCUGGAGCUCUUCUGAUUUCCUUUAUACUCUGUUUCUCAUUCUCGUGAAUGGACAUUAAUGAAUAUUUCCAUCAUUUAAAACAAAUAGCACCUGAUAGAAUUGGGUGUGAUUGUGAAGAUGACCUGUUUCUGAAAACCAGCACCUCUUCUCGUACAUGAAUAGCGUGUAGAACCGUUGCAGAUUAUAAAGAAUGCUUUUGGCUGUGGCAGCAUGCUGGAUAUCUGAGAAGAUUCAGAAGCACACCUUGGUGGAUGCCCCAAAUUCUGGAGUAAAUACAUGGAAGCACUCCUUUUCCAAGUUCAUCUGAGCACCCACAGAGACAGUAAAGUCCAUGCAACAGGCAUAUGGUGAGUGGAGAGCCGAUCAUUGUAGGAGGAGGACCACCUGCCUUCCAGAGGCAGCAGGAGAAGAAGAAUCUCUUGCUGCUUUGUCAAUUUAAGAUGACUGGUGUUCUACUUCGGUUUUAUAUUAAGAAGCAGUGUCUGUUCUUAUUGGAAACCUGAGAACACGGAUGGCGGUAUCCCACUACACAUUGCAAUCUCUUCUCCCCGAUAAUUCAAUUUGAAUCUCUAUCCAUUUCACUGCCUUAUAACAUUGUCAAGCUGCUCUUACUGCUAAAACAUUUCUUUCUGUUCAGCUGAAAUCUACCCUCCUAUAACUUCAGCUAAUUAGAUCUACUCUGGCAGCAGAGAACAUGUAUUGACCCUGUUCUAUGUGACAACACUUCAGGUCUUUGGAAAGUGGCAUCAUUCCCACCUACCUCCCAGUUUUAUCCAAGCUAAAUGUUCCUGGUCCCUGCCAUUUUUCCUUAUAGAAUUUGUUUUCUAUUGUCCUGACCAUCUUCAUCCAUCUCCUUAGAACCCAGUCUAAUUUGCCGAUAAUAUAUCAAUCCAUC